rnacentral:rRNA from 1 species
UACGUAGGUGGCAAGCGUUGUCCGGAUUUACUGGGCGUAAAGAGCGCGCAGGCGGUCGUUCAAGUCGCGUGUGAAAGCCCCCGGCUCAACUGGGGAGGGUCACGCGAUACUGAUCGACUCGAAGGCAGGAGAGGGUAGUGGAAUUCCCGGUGUAGUGGUGAAAUGCGUAGAUAUCAGGAGGAACACCGGUGGUGUAAACGGCUUUCUGGACCAUAACUGACGCUGAGACACGAAAGCGUGGGUAGCAAACAGG